GUGUGUUUGUGUCUAUAAGUCAGAGAGAGAUGGUGGUGUAUUAAGUAUUGUAUUCCUGCCAUUUGUGACACAUUGCCUCAUAGAGAUUCUGUCCAAUUUCACUGCCACAACACAGGGAAGUAGAACAAAGGGGGAUCGAACAUGAAAGUUUUCUACUAUUAUGUUAUAUUCACAUCUUUUUUUGUUUCAGGCAAGAUGGAGAGUAUUUGAGCGGUCAAAUAGAGGAUAUGAGAAGAAAAAAAGAAUAACUUCUAUGUGGAAAAAAUUUCGGUUACGGAGUAUCAUCCUCUUUAUUUAGGGCUGGAAGAGAUGUUUAUUGAAUUUUUCAUACUACUUAAAUCUGAACUAGCUCGCAAACGGUGUUGAUAAAAUCAAACAUGCUAUUAGCCUUGAUGUCUAUACAGGUGCCAGACACUUUACAUACCUUAUCUCGGCUAGUUGUCAAACUCUUGUAAUCCUGUUUAGCAGAUGAGGACUAUACAUCCUAAAGAGAUAAAGUAACUUGCUUAAGGUGCCUAGAGUACACCCAGUUCUUUUGACUCUAAAAUCUUUUCCAAUAUGACACCAGCAUUUCCCAAAAUUCCUGUUUUAUUGGUAUAUCAUUAUGGGUUAAACAGAAAGUUUGAUUUCAUAUAUAUGUAUAUAUGUUAUAUAUGUGUGUGCAUAUAUGUUCAUAAUAUAUACAUGUUUAUAUAUUACUUCCACUUAUAUACGUGUAGUGCCUUGAGAGCUUGCAUCACAAUUUACCCUCUUGCCCCAAAGAAUACAAUGCAAAACAAAAAAAACAAAACAAAACUCUGUGUGUGUGUGUGUUUGCGUGUGUGCGUGUGGUGUGUGCAUGCCUGUGUUUAUGAGAGAGAGAGAAAGAGAGAGAAAUUGUCCUCAGAACUCUCCUUUGCUAAUCCUUGUAGUACAAGUAAAGGAAAAAUAAAGAAGUCAAGGAAAUAGCAGGUUUUAACCAAUGAAGUUUGGGGUAAAUGAAGAGUUUAGUGCCUAAUUCAGUGAAGGUAUUUGGACUUUAUGACAUGAAUGAGUCUACCAUGUACUGCUCACAGAGACAGGGAAAACAAUUCAGCAAAGUGUUUCAGUGACUGUUGCAAUAAGGAUCAACAUUUGUGUAUUUUAUGACAGAAAUUAUAUGCUACAGUGAUAUUCAUGAAUUUGGGGAUUUAUGAGAGCUCCAGAAUAUAUCCCUCCCAAUGGACAAGAGUCUACCAGAAUGUUUCCCAAAAUAUGUUAUGAAGUAUACUGGUUCAGAAUGUUAAGGGCAUUAUGUGAAAUGGAGAGUUCAGUGGUCUAAUCAAUUUGGGGAAAGUUUUACCAAAAAAGUUAGAUUUCUUUACUGUAGAGCAAAUCAAAGCCUUUUAUAGGGUCAAGUGCAUUUUAAAUCUCCAAGAGGUUAUAUAGUUUACAGCUCUUCCUAAACUUAUAUAGCCACGAAAUCCCUUUUUCUUAGAAAUUUUUGUGAGGUUAUUGUUCUAUAUAAAAUAUGUUGUAUAAUAAUUUUCUACAGUUUAAGUAAAAACACAUAACACUAAUAUGUAGUUAGUUAUAAUAGCUAUUGGGGAUGAAAUGGAUUUUUCUCUGUACUUUUAAGACUAUUCAUGACUGAGGAAUAGAAAGUGUUUGGUGAAUCACUACAGAUCAUUAUUAUACAGUAUUAUUACUGUGCACUGCAUGUGAUGAGUUUUUAUGCAGUUUAGUAAGUAAAUCAGAGAUGCAUUUAGAUAAUAUAAUAAUUUCCUGUUACUCAUUUCUCCAUCUGAUUUUAUAAGUAUUUUAAACCUUAGAAUAUGGUGGACAACAAAACAUACAAAUUAUCUUUCUCAUACAAUCACACAAAAUCUAACCCCCACAGAAUCAAACGAAACAACAUAUUCUCACUUUCGAUCCUUUACAUUAGAAGAAGAGAUGCUUUUUUAUUUUAGGGGUGCCUCUACCUCAUACUUAUCCCUCUUUUUGUAAGUCAGUAUACUAGAAAAUCCAAAUAGAGGACUCAUUCUCUAACAAAGAAGAAACCUGUUUUGUCAAGCUUAUUUCAAAAUGCAAAUGCUCCCUGAAGAGGGUGACUUUAGCAGUUGAGUAUGCUUUCAUUUGUCCUAAAUUAAUUUCUUGUCUUAUAGAAGAGAACUGGAAAGCCUAGGGAUUCUGGCUAGUUAAAUAGUUUGAGCAAAGUGCUGAGAGGACAGAAAAAGGUGCUGCAAGUGGAAUGUGAGUAUAGCAGGCAACUGAAGACAAAUCUCCCACUGAAGCAUCCAAUUUAGGACCAGUUCUGAUAUUCAGAUGAUGGGUUUUUAGGUAUAGUGUGCAUGAAAAAUAACAUAGUUCAUGGCUAUGAAAAAGGUGAGAGAUUAGCCAAUGGGAUGUCCACUUACAUUUCCUCUGAUGAACUGGAUUUCGGAAAGUGAGAAUAAGGCAUUGUCAGGCAAAAGUCACUAGAAGUCUCCAGUCUGUUCUAUUGGAGAUGUUGGAGAGUUUCAUCAUGAGGAAAGGAAAAGAGUUUCAUCAUGAGGAACGGAAAAGGGAGCUGACUAGGGAAGCACCCAAUACAUCCCUAAGAGGCCUUGAGGGUAGAUGUAUUAGCUGGUGUAUAUAUAUAUAUAUAUAUAUAUAUAUAUAUAUAUAUAUAUAUAUAUAUAUAUAUAAAUAUAUGGGAGUUUACUAAGUAGUAUUAACUCAUGUGAUCACAAGGCCCCACAAUAGGCCGUCUGAAAGCUGAGGACCAAGGAAGCCAGUCUGAGUCCAAAGGUGAAGAACUUGGAGUCCAAUGUUCAAGGGCAGGAAGCAUCCAGCUCGGGAGAAAGAUGUAAGCUGGGAGGCUAUGCCGGUCUAAGCUUUUCACAUUUUUCUGCCUGCUUUAUAUACUGGCUACGCCUGCAGCUGAUUAGAUGGUGCCCAUCCAGACUGAGGGUGGGUCUUCCUUUCUCAGCCCACUGACUCAAAUGUUAAUCUCCUUUGGCAACACCUUCGCAGACACACCCAGGAUCAAUACUUUGCAUCCUUCAAUCCAAUCAAGUUGACACUCGGUAUUAACCACCAUAGUGGAAUUUAGUGGGAAAUCAUGAAGCACAGAUAUAAAACUUUGGUGACUUCCUAACAGCCUCAGUAGAACUGAAGUUGAAGUGAAGAGCAAGGAUGGUUAGGUUGAUGUUUUGUUACUUUGGUAGGAUUCAAAAGAAAAAUAAACAAAGAAAUUGGAAGUAUUGCCGAAAGUUAGGUCGAAAGGGUAGGCUAUAGGUCCCAGUUUGGAAAGAGGACACUGAAUAUAGUUAAAGUUACAGAACCCAUAUUAUGAAAUUCUCAGGGAUUCCAAAAAAAAAAUGAAAACCUAGGAAAGUAACUUGUCCAAAGCUACAUGAAUAGAUGGAAGCAGGAAAAUAAAUGAAGACUCCUUGUUUGUGUUCAUGCUUCCAUUCUAUGUUGUCUCUGGACAGGAAGUUCUUAAUAUUCUUUGGAUGUCUGUUAUAUGAACUUGAUAAUUCUAGGGAACCCUCAUUAACAAAAAAAUUAAAAAUGGUACAACAUGAACAGUUUUUUAAAAAUUAAUUUUAUUUUAAGUUCCAGAAUACAUGUGCAGAACAUGCAGGUUUGUUACAUAGAUAUAUGUGUGUCAUGGUGAUUUGCUGCACCUAUCAACCCGUUAUCAAACUUUUUAAAAUUGUACAAAAAUGGGCCUAAAAUUUCCAUAGAUUUAUAACUGCCAAAGCUUAUCAGUGACUACUCUAGUUUUUUAAGGACCCAGGCUAAAAAAAAGAGGUUCAGAAUAGACAAAUGCCAUGGAAAAUGUAAUUUGUUGAUUUCAUUUCUAAUUGUUGAAGAGUGCUUAGCUAGUAUUCUUUCAGACACACAAUAAAGACUGUAUGUAAUACGUUUAACUUUCUUAUAAAAACAUUCAAUAAAAUGUUUCCACAAAAUCUGAAAAAGUCAUUUGAGCCUAUAGGGAGAGAGGUUUAACACUUCUCCCAAAAUUCUGCUAUGGGGUUUGUUGAAUAUUUUCUCCUGUUUUUGGAACAAAUUUGAGAUUCUUUUAUAAACUUUGAAUUGUAUAUAAUGUUUUACUUCAGAUGUCAUGAAUUGAGCUUCAUAUGAUCUACAUAAUUCAUUAGUUAUGUCUUUGCUUGUGUAUAAGUAGCUGUUACAAAGAGGGAAUACUGUCUAGAUACACAACCCUUGUGCUUUGUGAUAAACAGACUAAAGUUAAUCUGUUAUCCCCAAUCCUAAACUGCCAGUGCUGAUAUUAUACUCAUCCAGCUGAGUAAAUAUGUGUAUUCUAAUCCAUAUUAGGCACAUGAGUUGACUUUAAAUGCUGUUAAAAUUUAGGUGAAUAUGAUUUUCAGAAACAUAAAUCUAGUCCCUAAAAUAUAUAAAGUAAUCAUAAUCUUGAUAAUGAGCUCAGUCUUCUCCCCUCCUUCCAAUACAAAUAUGUAUGUUAAAUCCAAAUAGUUAAACAUAGAUUCAAAUAAGUAGAGUUAGGAAUCCUAUUUGUUAAAUAAAUGUUGAGAUACAUUUUAUCAAAAUAAUAAAAAAUAUAUAUUUAUUUUGUAUUUAUGCAACUCGAGCAGUUUCAUAUUUGGAAUUAAUGUCAUGUCAAAACAAAAUAUAUGAAAACCUGCAAGGAACAACGAAACUUUACACUUUCAAAUUGCUUUUGAUAUGAUACUCUGCAGCUCAAGAUAAGAUAGAGCAAGCAUAUUUAACUUCUUCUUCCCCACUGCAUACAACUGAAAACCUAAACAGAAUGCUUCUGAGAACUCAGACCCAGGUGGUAAUAGGCAGAUUAGGAAAGAAAAUAAUACACCGUAUAAAUGAUCUCAUGGUUAGUUCGUUAUUUUGUCUUGUUUGCUUAAUUUUGUUUUUCAAUAUUUCUUGUUUGAACUUUAAACGAAGCCCAAAUCGGGAACUAUGUACUAGGUAAAAGCCCUAAAUGUUCCAAAGAAACCUCUUUGUAUUGUCUAAGAAAUGAAAAAAGGAGCUCCUAAGGACAGAGAGACUGGGGAAUAAAACAUUGUGUUUUUGGUUUCAUUUCAUUUUGUUCUUUUCUUUUUAUACCACCCCUGCCUCCAAACAAGCACCAGUUGCUGAGCUCUGAUUUUUGCACCAUUUGGGGUUGUAUGGGGCAAUGAUGGUGUCAGCUGUGAGCAAAUGCGUAAAGCUCUAAGGGAGGGGGAUUCUACUCUCUGACCAGAGGACCUAUGAUCCAAAAAGAACGCGGAGAAACUGUUACUUUUUCCCCCUCUUUAUCCUCUUGCCAUUUGGCCCUGCAGGCCAGUUGAGUCAUGGGAAGUGUUCAGUAGAGCAGAACAGUGAAAGCCCAGGCUGUCUAGCCAGAAGCCCAGAAAAGAGGGCCCCUGAGUGCUGGGGAGUGCUGGAGAGAUCCAGAAGAGAAGCAGCUUGAGGAAACAAUCUCAUGAAAUGUGUAUGAAUUCCUGGGCUCAUCCAAGAGCCAGGGUAGGUCUGAUGCUAAACAGUGUAUCAAAAGCUUUGACAACUGAACUUUGGGGUAGACUACAGUCUAAGUCCCAGACUGGUCACUGGGUGGCAGGCACACAAGAAAGAUGUAAAUUGUAUUGCAAACACUUUGGAUAGUGAACUAACAUUGGAAUCAUAGUCCACGGAAUGUGAAUCAAAAAUAUGUGGAGAAUCUAAUCAGCCUGCUAAAACAACAACAACAAAUCAAUUAUCUCUGUUAGAUUUAAACAGGUUACAUAGGUUUAAAAUAUAAAAGGAUGCUGAGCGCCUUAGCUCAUGCCUGCAAUCCCAGCACUCUGGGAGACCAAGA
rnacentral:lncRNA from 1 species